AAGAAAAGAAAUCAGGCUGACCAUCCUAGGUCUGCAAGAGCUGAAUGGUCCUUUAAGAACACUUUCAAGAACAGGAAGUCAUCCUACCAGCAACAACGGAGCACUCCCUAAGCCAAGCACAGUCUCUUUUUCAAGAUAACCAAGGCCUAUUCCCUAUUCUCAAGUGGCUUUAUGACUUGUAGGUGCUAUGUGCACUUACAUAAGUCCCUGAAAAUCAAUGGAGAUUGCCCGUUGGGGAAUCAGAUCAAGCCAUAUUCUACUGUGCCUUCAGCUGGGAGAUGGCAAAGACUAGGCAAGGGAAAGUAGAAGCGUUAAGUUAAGAAGAGAUGGAGAAACUGAACCCUAAUUUUACAUGACCAAGACCACACAAUAAAUGGAGGGCAAGAUUUUACCUGAAAGUCAAGGAUGAAAAGUGUUAGACAUUAUCAGCCCUUCUAAAGUGUAAUACAGCAUACUAGCAGACCAGCCCCUUGGCUCCUCUAAAUUUACUUCACAUUUUGAAAUUGUGGAAAAAGGCAUCAAAAGGGACCCAGAAGAAGAUGAAAAGAAAAGUCACAGAAUGAAAAUUGGACCUCUGAAAAAAGCCAGAGUUGCUGCCUGCAUUAAAUUUAGAGAAGAUCCCAAUCAGUUUCACCCUCCAAUGAAUGUGGUCAGAUGAAAAAAUGAACUGCUUGAUUGUGAUAGCUAUAAAGGAAGAUGUGUUGGAAUUUCUGAUCCUGAUAGUCCUUAAAACAAAAAUAGACAACUUAAAAUAUAAAUUCUGAAGAUUUUAAAAGCCAUUGGUAUCACUUCUGUAUACAUACUUCUGAUUAAUUUUAUAAUUUACACAAAUUUAUACAAAUUCUGAAUGCCCUCUCUGCCUUGCUCUUCUGUGUCUUCCUGGGAACUCUUCCUCGCCCUGCAAAUUCUACUCCAAUGUCAUUCUCCCUCGAAUCUCUAACCCUCACUUUGCUCUUUCUCAUUGCAAUUGACUUAGAGGAAGCUUCAAAAUUCAUAGCCACCCUAUAUAUUACUGUUCAAACUAUUUCCCCACUGUAUUUGCAAUUGUUUGUUCACAAGCACAUGACCCUCAAACAGGCUAUGAACUUCCCAGGGCAGGAACUACCCAGCACAGUAACCAGCACAUGCUUGGCACUGAAGAAAAACUUACUGAAUGAAAAAAAUGAAGGACCAACUGAUUAGCUGUGUACACUAUUCUCCUGGGAACUGGUUUAACUCAGAGAGGGCAAUUCAGGUUUGCUGCUUGAAAUUGGACCAUGAUGAUGAUGAAGACACAGAUUCUGCUAUCAAAGAAAAAUACUAGAAGUGGAAGCCAAAACAAAGUGCCAAAAGAAGUCAGAUGGGUUGUUACCAGUUAUUUAUUCUUAGUCAUCAGUCACCUGAUGACUUUGCCAUCUAUAGCCAGAAGAUAUUGAUGAUUCUUUGACCUGUGUCCUUUAAAAGGUAAAGAAAACAUCCUAGCACACUACCUUAAACAAUAGGAAGACAAAAAGGAGUGGGAAAUUUGACCUUGCUCUUCAGUUUCCUUGAGAAUUUUUAAUAGCUUUCUUGUGCAGUUUUACUACUUUGGCUGUGACCUCUGU